CAGGCCAGUGUCGCCAGGGUUGUCUAGGAAGACUAGGCAGGCGCCCAACGCAGUGUUUAACAUGGUGGGGCUGAAAUACCAAACCCUGACAAGGGAAAAAGUCCAUCCAAAAUUAAAAAGAGAAAAUAAGGCAUUUGGGAUGCCGAUGUUAAAAGGAGAAGGUAAUCAGAGAAGAAAAAAGGAAGUCGGUGGAGAGUUCUGCGAAGAUUUUGAAGAUUUCUAGCUGAAGCAAUUUCCUUCUGGAAUCCUCCUGAAGCUUCUCUUCAACCUGAAAUGACGAUGAAAGCGAGUACUUGCUGCUAAUGUGAUCAUAAUGCACUCUGGGGAGAUUCCUCUAGGAUGUCUAAUGGCCGUGGGGGGUCCCAGAGGGGUAGGCACAGCUGCAGCCCAUGUGGCAGGGGUCACAGGCGUGCGCGGGGUGGAGCCAGGCUAGGGGGGCACUGUCCGUUGGGGGAAAGGGCUGGGCUCUGCACCCUGGGCUCAAUAUUUGUCCUACCCCAGGCUCUAAUCCCAGCCCGGUCCCUAGCAAGCUGUAUGACCUCAGCAAAGUCAUUUCACUGCUCUGUGAUUCAGUGUCCUUAUCUGUCAAAUGGGGUGAUACUAGUUCCCUCUUCGCAGAGUUAUUGUGGGGAUUUUAAAAAGUUUGGAAUAGUGACAGCGCUUCGUAAGGGCUCUAUAAGUGUGUUAGAUGUUGUGACCUAGAACAGGUGGAUGACAGUAGCCACUAUACAGAGUCAUCCUAACACCAUAAGGAACUGCCGCCCAUCGUGGGCACUUGGUAAAUGUUAACUGCUGGGUUUAUUAUUGUAACUGUUUAUUGCUACCACUUCUAGCACACUUACCAAGGGAAACUGCUCUGGGAGCUAAGCAAUGGCUAGUAAAGAAUUGUAGCCUGCAAAAGAAGGCGUUUAAAGUGGGGAAACUUGCCCAUUUUCCCCCGCUUGCUCGAGUAAUGGGCAACUCGAGGUGAGCUUGGGCGUGUUCGGUGCUGCCCUCUGCUGGCCAUUACAGGACCCUGCAGCUGCUCAGUUCAUGUCUGAACCAUGAACAUUUUGGGCAUCUGCUGAGCCAGGGCUCAGGCACUUGCAGGAAAUGAGACAAACUCUCCUAGAUGAGAGGAUUUUGUUCUGAAACAGCCUCACAAGUGGUUUAUUAGGGGGCUAGAGAGGGGUCACACAGAUUUCAUGUAAAACACCCAGAGCAACCUGUAAAGCUUUCUUCUGAGUGGCAGGGUGCAGCCAGUCCCCAGUGAGCUGUUUCCCGGGAAGGCCGGCUAAGCUCGCUGGGCCUCAGUUUCCUCACUUACAUCCUCUCAGGUGUAAACAUACCCCAGCUUCUGUUUCGGCGGACGUUUUUCAAAUGCUGCGAAAGCAGAGGCUGUCCUGGGCUCUGUUCUGGCUCCUCCUCUCAAUGACUGGCCUCCCCGCCCCCAGCCCCAGCUCUGGCAGUCCUGUUCUUCAUAUCACUGCCACACAGCAGGCCUUUGGCACCAGCUGUCAGAGAUUUAUUUAUUGAGCUCCUCCUCUGUGCAUGGUGAUAGGGUUUGGCUGUGUGUCCACCCAAAUCUCAACUUCAAUUGUAUCUCCCAGAAUUCCUAAGUGUUGUGGGCGGGACCCAGGGGGAGGUAACUGAAUCAUGGGGGCCGGACUUUCCCGUGCUGUUCUCCUGAUGGUGAAUAAGUCUCACGAAAUUGACGGGUUUAUCAGGGGUUUCCACUUUUGUUUCUUCCUUAUUUUUCCCUUGCCACCGCCAUGUAAGAAGUGCCUUUCGCCUCCCGCCAUGAUUCUGAGGCCUCCCUAGCCAUGUGGAACUGUAAGUCCAAUUAAACCUCUUUUUCUUCCCAGUUUCGGGUGUGUCUUUAACAGCGGUGUGAAAACGGACUAAUACACAUGGUCUGAGGCUAGGCCCUGAGCACCUUUGGCCGUGACGCCUCCUUGCCUCUAAUUUAUUUCCUUCCAGAACAUCCUUCAUGGUCCUGUGAGAGGGUUACCAAGUGGUGGGGCAGCACUGUCUGGUAGAACUUUCUGCAAUGAUGAAGUGCUCUAACUCCAUACUGUCAAAUAGGGUGGACACUGGCCACAUCUGGCUAUUGAGCACUUGAAGUGUGGCUCAUGUGACUGAGGGACUGAAUUUUAC
rnacentral:lncRNA from 1 species